UCUAGUUGGUGUUUGUACCAGUUGUGACAUAAAGGUGUCAUUUAACACAUUUAAAAACCUGAUUCCCCUUGCUAAAGUACUAGUCCCUCUAUCCCAAUUUAUGUCUGGGUAAUUAAAAUCUCCAAUAAUUAACGUGUUACCUCGAUUUGCAGCUUUCUCAAUUUGCUCUAACAGCUGUUCUUCCUCAAUAAUAUUUACAUUAGGUGGUUUAUAACAUAUCCCAACCAAUAAUUGAUUUCCCUUUGUUUGCCCCAAGCAGAUAUCUACCCAUAAAGCCUCCACAUUUUCCUCGUCACACUCCACAUGCCUAAGAUUUGACUUUAACUCAUGG